rnacentral:rRNA from 1 species
CGGGGUGCAGCAGUGAGGAAUAUUGGACAAUGGGCGCAAGCCUGAUCCAGCCAUGCCGCGUGCAGGAUGACGGUCCUAUGGAUUGUAAACUGCUUUUGUACAGGAAGAAACACCUCUACGUGUAGAGACUUGACGGUACUGUAAGAAUAAGGAUCGGCUAACUCCGUGCCAGCAGCCGCGGUAAUACGGAGGAUCCAAGCGUUAUCCGGAAUCAUUGGGUUUAAAGGGUCCGUAGGCGGUCUUAUAAGUCAGUGGUGAAAUCUCCCCGCUCAACGGGGAAACGGCCAUUGAUACUGUAAGACUUGAAUUAUUAGGAAGUAACUAGAAUAUGUAGUGUAGCGGUGAAAUGCUUAGAGAUUACAUGGAAUACCAAUUGCGAAGGCAGGUUACUACUAAUGGAUUGACGCUGAUGGACGAAAGCGUGGGUAGCGAACAGGAUUAGAUACCCGGGU